rnacentral:rRNA from 1 species
CCUACGGGUGGCAGCAGUGAGGAAUAUUGGUCAAUGGACGAGAGUCUGAACCAGCCAAGUAGCGUGAAGGAUGACUGCCCUAUGGGUUGUAAACUUCUUUUAUAUGGGAAUAAAAUGUUCCACGUGUGGGUUUUUGUAUGUACUAUAUGAAUAAGGAUCGGCUAACUCCGUGCCAGCAGCCGCGGUAAUACGGAGGAUCCGAGCGUUCUCCGGCUUUUUUGGGUUUAAAGGGUGCGUAGGCGGAUUGUUAAGUCAGUUGUGAAAGUUUGCGGCUCAACCGUAAAAUUGCAGUUGAAACUGGCGGUCUUGAGUACAGUAGAGGUGGGCGGAAUGCGUGGUGUAGCGGUGAAAUGCUUAGAUAUCACGAAGAACUCCGAUUGCGAAGGCAGCUCACUGGACUGCAACUGACACUGAGGCUCGAAAGUGUGGGUAUCAAACAGGAUUAGAUACCCGAGUAGUC